rnacentral:rRNA from 1 species
UGGGGAAUUUUGGACAAUGGGGGAAACCCUGAUCCAGCCAUCCCGCGUGUGCGAUGAAGGCCUUCGGGUUGUAAAGCACUUUUGGCAGGAAAGAAACGUCAUGGGUUAAUACCCCGUGAAACUGACGGUACCUGCAGAAUAAGCACCGGCUAACUACGUGCCAGCAGCCGCGGUAAUACGUAGGGUGCAAGCGUUAAUCGGAAUUACUGGGCGUAAAGCGUGCGCAGGCGGUUCGGAAAGAAAGAUGUGAAAUCCCAGAGCUCAACUUUGGAACUGCAUUUUUAACUAACGGGCUAGAGUGUGUCAGAGGGGGGGGGAAUUCCGCGUGUAGCAGUGAAAUGCGUAGAUAUGCGGAGGAACACCGAUGGCGAAGGCAGCCUCCUGGGAUAACACUGACGAUCAUGCACGAAAGCGUGGGGAGCAAACAGG